rnacentral:rRNA from 1 species
UGUGAGGCAUGCUGGAGGUAUCAGAAGUGCGAAUGCUGACAUAAGUAACGAUAAAGCGGGUGAAAAGCCCGCUCGCCGGAAGACCAAGGGUUCCUGUCCAACGUUAAUCGGGGCAGGGUGAGUCGACCCCUAAGGCGAGGCCGAAAGGCGUAGUCGAUGGGAAACGGGUUAAUAUUCCCGUACUUGGUGUUACUGCGAAGGGGGGACGGAGAAGGCUAUGUUGGCCGGGCGACGGUUGUCCCGGUUUAAGCGUGUAGGUGUGUGUUCCAGGUAAAUCCGGUUCACUUUAACACUGAGGCGUGACGACGAGGCACUACGGUGCUGAAGCAACAAAUGCCCUGCUUCCAGGAAAAGCCUCUAAGCAUCAGGUAACAUCAAAUCGUACCCCAAACCGACACAGGUGGUCAGGUAGAGAAUACCAAGGCGCUUGAGAGAACUCGGGUGAAGGAACUAGGCAAAAUGGUGCCGUAACUUCGGGAGAAGGCACGCUGACACGUAGGUGAAGUGAUUUACUCACGGAGCUGAAGUCAGUCGAAGAUACCAGCUGGCUGCAACUGUUUAUUAAAAACACAGCACUGUGCAAACACGAAAGUGGACGUAUACGGUGUGACGCCUGCCCGGUGCCGGAAGGUUAAUUGAUGGGGUCAGCGCAAGCGAAGCUCCUGAUCGAAGCCCCGGUAAACGGCGGCCGUAACUAUAACGGUCCUAAGGUAGCGAAAUUCCUUGUCGGGUAAGUUCCGACCUGCACGAAUGGCGUAAUGAUGGCCAGGCUGUCUCCACCCGAGACUCAGUGAAAUUGAACUCGCUGUGAAGAUGCAGUGUACCCGCGGCAAGACGGAAAGACCCCGUGAACCUUUACUAUAGCUUGACACUGAACAUUGAGCCUUGAUGUGUAGGAUAGGUGGGAGGCUUUGAAGCGUGGACGCCAGUCUGCGUGGAGCCGACCUUGAAAUACCACCCUUUAAUGUUUGAUGUUCUAACGUGGACCCGUGAUCCGGGUUGCGGACAGUGUCUGGUGGGUAGUUUGACUGGGGCGGUCUCCUCCUAAAGAGUAACGGAGGAGCACGAAGGUUGGCUAAUCCUGGUCGGACAUCAGGAGGUUAGUGCAAUGGCAUAAGCCAGCUUGACUGCGAGCGUGACGGCGCGAGCAGGUGCGAAAGCAGGUCAUAGUGAUCCGGUGGUUCUGAAUGGAAGGGCCAUCGCUCAACGGAUAAAAGGUACUCCGGGGAUAACAGGCUGAUACCGCCCAAGAGUUCAUAUCGACGGCGGUGUUUGGCACCUCGAUGUCGGCUCAUCACAUCCUGGGGCUGAAGUAGGUCCCAAGGGUAUGGCUGUUCGCCAUUUAAAGUGGUACGCGAGCUGGGUUUAGAACGUCGUGAGACAGUUCGGUCCCUAUCUGCCGUGGGCGCUGGAGAACUGAGGGGGGCUGCUCCUAGUACGAGAGGACCGGAGUGGACGCAUCACUGGUGUUCGGGUUGUCAUGCCAAUGGCACUGCCCGGUAGCUAAAUGCGGAAGAGAUAAGUGCUGAAAGCAUCUAAGCACGAAACUUGCCCCGAGAUGAGUUCUCCCUGAGACUUUAGGUCUCCUGAAGGAACGUUGAAGACGACGACGUUGAUAGGCCGGGUGUGUAAGCGCAGCGAUGCGUUGAGCUAACCGGUACUAAUGAACCGUGAGGCUUAACCUUACAACGCCGAAG